rnacentral:rRNA from 1 species
GACGAACCGUGCAAACGUUACUCGGAUUCACUGGGCUUAAAGGGCGCGUAGGCUGUUCGUUAAGUCGUGGGUGAAAUCUUUCGGCUCAACCGGAAAAUUGCCCCCGAUACUGGCGAGCUCGAGGGAGGUAGGGGCAGCGGGAACUGCCAGUGGAGCGGUGAAAUGCGUUGAUAUUGGCAGGAACGCCGGUGGCGAAAGCGCGCUGCUGGAUCUCUCCUGACGCUGAGUGCGCGAAAGCUAGGGGAGCAAACGGGAUUAGAUACCCCGGUAGUCCUAGCCCUAAACGAUGAGUACUAGGUUGCGGGCGUGACAUGCGCUCGCAGCCGAAGCAAAAGUGCUAAGUACUCCGCCUGGGGAGUAUGGUCGCAAGGCUGAA